rnacentral:rRNA from 1 species
GAUGAACGCUGGCGGCGUGCCUAACACAUGCAAGUCGAGCGGACGGACGCGGAGCUUGCUUCUCUGAUGUUAGCGGAGCACGGGUGAGUAACACGUGUAUACCCUACCUAUCAGUCUGGGAUAACUUCGGGAAACCGGCGCUAAUACCGGAUAAUAUUUUGAACCGCAUGGUUCAAUAGUGAAAGACGGUCUUGCUGUCUCGUAUCGCUGGAUCUGCGCUGCAUUAGCUAGUUGGUAAGGUAACGGCUUACCAAGGCAACGAUGCAUAGCCGACCUGUGAGGGUGAUCGGCCACACUGGAACUGAGACACGGUCAAGACGCCUAAGGGAGGCAGCAGUAGGGAAUCGUCCGCAGUGGGCGAGAGCCUGACGGAGCAACGCCGCGUGAGUGAUGACGGUCUUCGGAUCGUAAAGCUCUGUUAUGAGGGAAGAACAGAUGUGUAAUGAAAUGUGCAGAGCUUGACGGUACCGAGUCAGAAAGCCACGGCUAACUACGUG